CAGACUGUAUAAUAUCACAGAGUAAUGAGAUGAGUUUGCAAUUGUUUAACCAUUUCAAAGGAUUGUUGUCCAGAACUCCUGCAUUCAGCUCUUUUCCGCUGAGUCUUGUACUAUUUGGAUUUGAGUUGUUGAUGGAUCUUGAAUUUUCAUGUCCAUGCAAUGUUCAGUUGAACGGGGCAAUAUCAGGCUUUCUCUUUUUUGCACCAUCUCUUUUUGCUUUUUCCGUGAUGUUCUUCCUUUCAAGGCCUUUUAAAUAUAAGUUUGAAACCUGUUGUUCUCAAGGAAGCAUCUCUAAUGAAACAUCUCAACCUGCUACAACUGAGAAGAAUUGCGUGGCAUUUUUUUUUCCUUGUCUGAUUCCACCAGCUGUGUGGAUCAUUCUGUUGCUGCUUGAUGGCCAUUAUCUUGCCUGUGGCUUGACAUAUUGGAAUGGAAAGUACGUUUUUGAUAGCGAGCUAAAAAUAUCUUGGUGUGAACCUUCUGAUUUAGAGAACGGCAAAAGAAAUGACACUGAACUGCAAAAUCAAACUCGGAUGUAUAUUGGAGCAUCAAAGCUUGUAGGCCUUGUUUUGGCUUCUCUCAUCUGCACAAUAACUAUAAUUCUUGUGGGUACCUAUGACUGCUGCAAAAGUGGAAAAUCAGCCUGCUGCAGAAACCAAAAUGUAUAGCCACACCGUGAGGAAGGAACAAUCCACAGAUAGUACAGAGGAGAGGGGGACAGGAAACAACAGGAGAGAAGAGGGGGAACCAGAUCAGGAAACAAUGUCGAGCCACAAGCCUAUGACUCCGAAAACACAUGUAUGUUUUAAGAACCUGCAUACAAGUGCAUAGAAAAAAAAAAAAACUUUUUAUAUUUUCAUUCAACCUUGUAUGACACGUCACCUGUUCAUAUUCUUGUCCAGUUAUUUUUCUUUCUCUCUUAAAGUUGAAGUGUGUAAUUUCUGCACCAAUAGCGUCACCAAACGGAAAUGGAAAAAUCAACAUUGUUUUGAAACAUAUUUCUGAAUACACCCUCUAUCUACCAAUGGUCAAACAAAUGGAUAUUCCCGCCUCAACUGGCGCCAUAGGUUGAGUUAAUGUUGUUGUGUCGGGCUGUGGUGCAUUUCCCGUACAACGACGUAACUUGCUGCUUAACCACCACAGUACGAUGCAUCGUUGUAGAAAUUAACUAGCUAGUCACAACUGUUUCCUGAAACUGUAGUAGCAAUGUAACACAUCCAGCGUUCGAACCACAUUGUUUGAGUUGUCAUUAAUGACGUUACUCAGGGGGUGGAGUAAUAACUUCCACAAAUAUUAAAUUAUAGUAGCUCAUUUACACAUACACCAGAAAGCCAUUUAAUGUGAGAAAAAUGCUGAAGACACAAAAGGGGCAUGCAUUUUGUAAUGUGACAGAUGAAUUGCUCUCCAAUAGUGGGGUUUCCCUCUAUAAUUAGAUACUAGACGGUGUUCCCCUGACAUAUUUGAGCAUUUACGCACAUGCACAUUCUUCAAAAACUUAUAAAUGGCACUUAUGCAUUAACAUAAACACAUAAAAGCCGUGUUCUUCAAAAGAAUCUGUGUGUGAUAAAGCGCUUUCUCUUAAUAGCCUUUAAUCCCUUACAUGGCUGCACUAGUGUUAAUGUGACGUUUCAGAACACCACUUUCAGAGCGCCGCUUUCUGCAAAACCCCAGAAUAAAUUGUUUUCUUAAAUGCAUGUAAACGUGGUCAAAGUCUUUACAGAAUGAAAUAUAUAUAUGGAAUGAAAGAUAUAGAAGCCUCAGCGAAGUCAAAUGAUGCUAUGAACUCGCUCUAACCACAGGGGAAGAGCUGUAGUUCCAACCACGCAACUUUGCGAUGCUGUUUGCGAAUGUUCAUUGGAACUACGGUUUCAGGAAACACCAAAUCGUUGAACUAUGUUGGUAACGAUGGAACUUGCGACCAUAGUUGGCUAACGAUGCUUUUGGGAAAUGCACCCCUGGACGGCUGCUUAAAACAGAGGAAUGUUUUAAAGCACCACUGAAAAGUGUCUACAUUUUUCAGGAAAAUCAACCUACAAAUGGUUUGCUUAUAGUCGUCUCUGCGUAUUACUGAAAGCUGGGUAUUACUGUAAGUAUUUUGACAAUGAAAAAAUUACACACAUUAGCUUUAAGUUGAUUGUUUCUGCUGUUCUUACUAGUGCUUUUUGACAAUGUAAGCUCAGGUCUUAUGAAAAUUUAAAAAUAUUCUGCAUAUAUUAUUCACAUUGAUAUUUACUUUUUUACAAACUUACUAAAUGGGUUGUAAUAAUGGUUGCUGGAAAGCUUUUUUUUCCCUGAAAA